rnacentral:rRNA from 1 species
CCUACGGGAGGCAGCAGUGGGGAAUAUUGCGCAAUGGGGGAAACCCUGACGCAGCAACGCCGCGUGAGUGAGGAAGUAUCUCGGUAUGUAAAGCUCUAUCAGCGGGGAAGAAAGAGGACGGUACCCGACUAAGAAGCCCCGGCUAACUACGUGCCAGAAGCCGCGGUAAUACGUAGGGGGCGAGCGUUAUCCGGCUUUACUGGGUGUAAAGGGUGCGCAGGCGGUCUGUUAAGUCAGCGGUCAAAGCCCGGGGCUCAACCCCGGCCCGCCGUUGAAACUGGCAGUCUCGAGUUGGAGAGAAGUAUGCGGAAUGCGCGGUGUAGCGGUGAAAUGCAUAGAUAUCGCGCAGAACUCCGAUUGCGAAGGCAGCAUGCCGGCUCCACACUGACGCUGAGGCACGAAAGCGUGGGUAUCGAACAGGAUUAGAUACCCUUGUAGUC